GGGGGUGCACUGGCUUCGACGGGGGUUGCGAAAUCGCACGGCGCAUGCCGAGGGGGCAGCUUUCCUCGUAAAUCCAGCGGCAAACAAUCAGACGCCAACGACGACGUCUACGCUCUGGCCGCUUAAGGCCUAGCCCCGAACCCACUUGUGCCUGUGCUCGUGGAUGUAGGGUCAUUAUCACAGGAUCGGCUUCGGCGGCGACCCGUCAACCGAAGCCUAGAUCAAGCGGGUAUGUCCUGCGGUGUGCUUCGCACGCCGUGUUGCCGCAGGGCGAGACCAAACGGUGAGCUAAGCAUGUAGUGCCGGGCAUGGAGUGCCUUCGGACGGCGGUUCGAUUCCGCCCACCUCCACCA
rnacentral:tmRNA from 1 species